UGGGGAAUAUUGGACAAUGGGCGCAAGCCUGAUCCAGCCAUGCCGCGUGAGUGACGAAGGCCUUAGGGUUGUAAAGCUCUUUUGGCGGGGAAGAUAAUGACGGUACCCGCAGAAUAAGCUCCGGCUAACUUCGUGCCAGCAGCCGCGGUAAUACGAAGGGAGCUAGCGUUGUUCGGAAUCACUGGGCGUAAAGCGCACGUAGGUGGGCAGUUAAGUCAGGGGUGAAAGCCCGAGGCUCAACCUCGGAAUUGCCUCUGAUACUGGCUGUCUAGAGUCCGAGAGAGGUGGGUGGAAUUCCUAGUGUAGAGGUGAAAUUCGUAGAUAUUAGGAGGAAUACCGGUGGCGAAGGCGGCCUUCUGGACGGUGACUGACACUCAGACGCGAAAGCGUGGGGAGCAAACAGGAUUAGAUACCCACGUAGUCCCUGAGCGGGCUGGCAAGGCGCAU
rnacentral:rRNA from 1 species